AUGAUUGUGAGAACAAUAUCCUUCAAGCUAAAUAUUUCAUCACAUCCACUCAUCAUGCCUUUUUUUUUUUUUUCCUCUCCAGUUCAUAUAGAAACAAGCCUGACUGGGCUUGAUGCCCUAUCUAGGAGGUUUGAAGGCAUUUUUUGCAAUUUCACAUGCUUCUUACACAGGGACAAAACUGACAUGAGUAACAAACAGAAAAAUAAAGAAGCAGACAGAGAAACAGUAAAAGACAGAUGACCUGGAAGACGAGCAAGAAAAAACAGCAAAAGCAGUCAUACCUGCCUGGGAAACCAGUGGCUCCUAGUUCCCUGCCAUGCAUUCAUGUUGGGUGGGUAGUGGGAAGGAGAACGCCUGCUGACUGUUCUGUUACGCAGAUGUUGUACUUCAACAAUAAGCACUUCGUUUCAAGAUAAUACUGUUUUGGUAUGUUUUAAAAACUGAAGCAUUUCUUCAAGUUUUCUUUGUACCAUUUCUAAUUCAUAAUUUAACAUGUUUGUUCCGAAACAAGAAGCAUUAGCUGAUAGACAGGUUACGAUUAAAAUCCAUCAUCAUCUA
rnacentral:lncRNA from 1 species